rnacentral:pre_miRNA from 1 species
AUCCUUCUGUAUCUGUGCUGAGAUUUCGUCAGCGAUCGACCCGUUAGGGCUGAUGUAACUUUCUAAAUAAGUAAAGUG